CCUACGUGAGGCAGCAGUGAGGAAUAUUGGUCAAUGGGCGUAAGCCUGAACCAGCCAAGUCGCGUGAGGGAUGAAGGUUCUAUGGAUCGUAAACCUCUUUUAUAAGGGAAUAAAGUGUGGGACGUGUCCUAUUUUGUCUGUACCUUAUGAAUAAGGCUCGGCUAACUCCGUGCCAGCAGCCGCGGUCAUACGGAGGAUCCGAGCGUUAUCCGGAUUUAUUGGGUUUAAAGGGUGCGUAGGCGGCCUUUUAAGUCAGCGGUGAAAGUCUGUGGCUCAACCAUAGAAUUGCCGUUGAAACUGGGGGGCUUGAGUAUAGGUGAGGCAGGCGGAAUGCGUGGUGUAGCGGUGAAAUGCGUAGAUAUCACGCAGAACCCCGAUGGCGAAGGCGGCCUGCUAAGCCAUGACUGACGCUGAUGCACGAAAGCGUGGGGAUCAAACAGGAUUAGAUACCCGAGUAGUC
rnacentral:rRNA from 1 species